CCACAUUGACAAAGUUGUUCUGCAAAGUUGUUUAUGCCCAAACUAUAAUCCAAUCAAUCAACUAUAAUUCAAUCUUGUUCUCAUCAUAUAUUCAACACCAAGGUAUCACCACUACCUUUUUAAACUUCAAAAAUCGCCAUAAUCAGGCUCCCCAAAAUAAAUACUCCGUGCACUAGGCAUUAUGAAACUGAUGAAGUUCCCAUACUCUGCAACUUAACAAACGCCAACUGAAUACAUAUACUCGGCCAAUCACAAUCUCAACUACUCAAACAUUGACUACUAAUCAACUACUCAAGCUUGGUCGUGUAUCUUGAAAAAAUACCUUGAACAACUGGAACAAGUUUCUUCUUCAUAUAUUAUGCCUAUAUCUAUCUAUCCAUAUUCUCCUCCCAACUUAUUUCUUUAUAAUGAGAAAAUCUAAAAGCUCUCUCCACUUACAUCAUGCCCCUACAUCGUGCCUGUCAUGUACCUUUUGAUUCAACAACAGCCCCUACAUCAUGCCUGUCAUGUACCUUUUGAUUCUUCUCUUUUUUUUUCCUACUAUCGACUUAUUGCUCCUCCGUUUAUAUCUCUGUAAAACUCCAUGUCUUGAUCUUCGAUUGCAAUAACAUUUCCUGCCUCCUCUCUAUGAUCAUCCGUUGCAUCAGAUUGAACUCGGGCAGCCUUGAUAUUUUUUUUAAACACUUCACAUUCCGAACAUUGACAACCAUUGCUCCUAUGCCCGUGAAAACCACCAAACUUACUAAAAUUUUCAACAACCUUCGAGUUGAAAGCCUGAUUUUCGUCAUCAUUUAAUGAAUCAUUUGAAUUUGUUUCACUCCCACCAUAUUGUGUGGCAUUUCUAACCGAAGAAUAAUAUAAAAACCAGAAUAUAUAUAUUAUAGAAUAAAGAAGAAGACAGAAAUUAAAACAAGUCUUUUAUUACUAUGUGCUUAACAACUUUUCUACAAUCUGCAACUCUUUAUAUAGAGUUAAUACUAUAGGAGCACUAAAAUUCUAACGUGCAUAAACUAUAGACUAGGUAAAACUAUAACAACUUCCUAAUGAAGUGGUAAACAUUCUGACCACUGCUACACUAAUAACAAAUUCCAAUAAAAUAGGACAACAACUAAUACUUAUGACUGUUGACUCGGUGGUUGGGCCGUCCGGUCGACGGUUUUAACCUAAUUGCAAAAAGAGAAAAAUACUAAACUGACCGUUUGAAAAAUCCCAAUAUUCACUCUUCAAGUUCUCCCCAUAUUAGUUGAAUUUGAGAACAGGUGCUGGAUUUGUGAAUAAGUCAGAUGUUUGAUGAAGAAGAUUAAGCUUGAGAGAGAGAGAGAGAGAAAUUGUG
rnacentral:lncRNA from 1 species